rnacentral:siRNA from 1 species
UUAAAUAACUGGUGCUGUCUAACU